ACUCAAGGAAUUGACGGGGGCCCGCACAAGCAGUGGAGCAUGUGGUUUAAUUCGAAGCAACGCGAAGAACCUUACCAGCCCUUGACAUGGUCGGACGGUUUCCAGAGAUGGAUUCCUUCACUUCGGUGACUGACACACAGGUGCUGCAUGGCUGUCGUCAGCUCGUGUCGUGAGAUGUUGGGUUAAGUCCCGCAACGAGCGCAACCCUCGCCUUUAGUUGCCAUCAUUUAGUUGGGCACUCUAGAGGGACUGCCGGUGAUAAGCCGGAGGAAGGUGGGGAUGACGUCAAGUCUUCAUGGCCCGUACGGGCUGGGCUACACACGUGCUACAAUGGUGGUGACAGAGGGCAGCUAGACCGCGAGGUCAUGCUAAUCCCAAAAAGCCAUCUCAGUUCGGAUUGCACUCUGCAACUCGAGUGCAUGAAGUUGGAAUUGCUAGUAAUCGCAGAUCAGCACGCUGCGGUGAAUACGUUCCCGGGCCUUGUACACACCGCCCGU
rnacentral:rRNA from 1 species